GAUGAACGCUGGCGGCGUGCCUAAUACAUGCAAGUCGAGCGAACAGACGAGGAGCUUGCUCCUCUGACGUUAGCGGCGGACGGGUGAGUAACACGUGGAUAACCUACCUAUAAGACUGGGAUAACUUCGGGAAACCGGCGCUAAUACCGGAUAAUAUAUUGAACCGCAUGGUUCAAUAGUGAAAGACGGUUUUGCUGUCACUUAUAGAUGGAUCCGCGCCGCAUUAGCUAGUUGGUAAGGUAACGGCUUACCAAGGCAACGAUGCGUAGCCGACCUGAGAGGGUGAUCGGCCACCCGGGAACUGAGACACGGUCCAGACUCCUACGGGAGGCAGCAGUAGGGAAUCUUCCGCAAUGGGCGAAAGCCUGACGGAGCAACGCCGCGUGAGUGAUGAAGGUCUUCGGAUCGUAAAACUCUGUUAUUAGGGAAGAACAAAUGUGUAAGUAACUAUGCACGUAUUGACGGUACCUAAUCAGAAAGCCACGGCUAACUACGUG
rnacentral:rRNA from 1 species